ACGAGGAGCUUGCUCCUCUGACGUUAGCGGCGGACGGGUGAGUAACACGUGGAUAACCUACCUAUAAGACUGGGAUAACUUCGGGAAACCGGAGCUAAUACCGGAUAAUAUAUUGAACCGCAUGGUUCAAUAGUGAAAGACGGUUUUGCUGUCACUUAUAGAUGGAUCCGCGCCGCAUUAGCUAGUUGGUAAGGUAACGGCUUACCAAGGCAACGAUGCGUAGCCGACCUGAGAGGGUGAUCGGCCACACUGGAACUGAGACACGGUCCAGACUCCUACGGGAGGCAGCAGUAGGGAAUCUUCCGCAAUGGGCGAAAGCCUGACGGAGCAACGCCGCGUGAGUGAUGAAGGUCUUCGGAUCGUAAAACUCUGUUAUUAGGGAAGAACAAAUGUGUAAGUAACUAUGCACGUCUUGACGGUACCUAAUC
rnacentral:rRNA from 1 species